rnacentral:rRNA from 1 species
UACAGAGGUCUCAAGCGUUGUUCGGAUUCAUUGGGCGUAAAGGGUGUGUAGGUGGCGCGCUAAGUCGGGUGUGAAAUUUCGGAGCUUAACUCCGAAACUGCAUUUGAUACUGGCGUGCUUGAGGACUGGAGAGGAGACUGGAAUUCAUGGUGUAGCAGUGAAAUGCGUAGAGAUCAUGAGGAAGACCAGUGGCGAAGGCGGGUCGUCUGGACAGUUCCUGACACUGAGGCACGAGGGCCAGGGGAGCAAACGGG